rnacentral:rRNA from 1 species
GAUGAACGCUGGCGGCGUGCCUAAUACAUGCAAGUCGAGCGAACAGACGAGGAGCUUGCUCCUCUGACGUUAGCGGCGGACGGGUGAGUAACACGUGGAUAACCUACCUAUGAGACUGGGAUAACUUCGGGAAACCGGAGCUAAUACCGGAUAAUAUAUUGAACCGCAUGGUUCAAUAGUGAAAGACGGUUUUGCUGUCACUUAUAGAUGGAUCCGCGCCGCAUUAGCUAGUUGGUAAGGUAACAGCUUACCAAGGCAACGAUGCGUAGCCGACCUGAGAGGGUGAUCGGCCACACUGGAACUGAGACACGGUCCAGACUCCUACGGGAGGCAGCAGUAGGGAAUCUUCCGCAAUGGGCGAAAGCCUGACGGAGCAACGCCGCGUGAGUGAUGAAGGUCUUCGGAUCGUAAAACUCUGUUAUUAGGGAAGAACAAAUGUGUAAGUAACUAUGCACGUCUUGACGGUACCUAAUCAGAAAGCCACGGCUAACUACGUG